rnacentral:rRNA from 1 species
CGCCCGGGUGCGUGACACGUCGGUGACCUACCCCGCUUUGGGGAAUACCCUGCCGAAAGGUGGGCUAAUACCGCAUGCGAUCCCCGGUCGAACGGGGAUGAAAGCCCGCAAGGGCGCUGUGGGAGGGGCCGGNGGCCUAUCAGCUUGUUGGUGGGGUAAUGGCCUACCAAGGUGACGACGGGGAGCCGAUCUGAGAGGAUGACCGGCCACAGUGGGACUGANAUAUGGUCCACAGCCCUACGGGGUUUAGCAUGGAGGAAUCUUGCGCAACAUCCGAAAGGAUGGCGCAGCAACGCCGCGUGAGGGACGAAGCCGUUUGCGGUGUAAACCUCUGUUGCUCGGGAAGAAUGUACCGCGGGGGAGAGCCUCACUGGAAGACGGUACCUGUGGCGAGGAAGCCCCGGCUAACUACGUGCCAGCAGCCGCGGUAAUACGUAGGGGGCGAGCGUUAUCCGGAUUUAUUGGGCGUAAAGCGCACGCAGGCGGGAUGCAACCGUGGUGUGUGGAAUCUCCCGGCUCACCCGGGAGGGGUCAUGCCAUACGGGCAUUCUUGAGGCAAACAGUGGGUCGCGGAACGGGCAGAGUAGGGGUGAAAUCCGCAGAUACUGUCCGGAACACCAGAGGCGAAGGCGGCGACCUAGGUUUGAGAAGCGGUCGCGAGACCGUCCUGACGCUCAGGUGCGAAAGCGUGGGUAGCGAACGGAAUUAGAUACUCCGGUAGUCCACGCCCUAAACGAUGGCCACUCGGUGUCGGGGUAUCGACCCCCUCGGUGCCUUAGCUAACGCGGUAAGUGGCCCGCCUGGGGACUACGGCCGCAAGGCUAAAACUCAAAGGAAUUGACGGGGCCCCGCACAAGCAGCGGAGCGUGUGGAUUAAUUCGAUGCAACGCGAAGAACCUUACCCAGGCUUGACAUGGCGCUGGUAGGGAGGGGAAACCUGACCGACCCGCAAGGGAGGCGUCACA